CAGGGAAUCUUCCACAAUGGGCGAAAGCCUGAUGGAGCGACGCCGCGUGAGGGAUGAAGGCUCUAGGGUCGUAAACCUCUUUUCUUAGGGAAGAGUAAGGACGGUACCUAAGGAAUAAGUGACGGCUAACUACGUGCCAGCAGCCGCGGUAAUACGUAGGUCACAAACGUUGUCCGGAAUUAUUGGGCGUAAAGGGUCCGUAGGCGGUUCUGUAAGUCUCCUGUGAAAUCUUCAGGCUCAACUUGAAGAGGUCGGGGGAUACUGCUGAACUUGAGACUGACAGAGGCAAGUGGAAUUCCCGGUGUAGUGGUGAAAUGCGUAGAUAUCGGGAGGAACACCAAUGGCGAAAGCGGCUUGCUGGGUCAGUUCUGACGCUGAGGGACGAAAGCGUGGGUAGCAAACCGG
rnacentral:rRNA from 1 species